AUUGAACGCUGGCGGCAUGCCUUACACAUGCAAGUCGAACGGUAACGGGCCUUCGGGUGCCGACGAGUGGCGAACGGGUGGGUAAUACAUCGGAACGUGCCCGAUCGUGGGGGAUAACGAGGCGAAAGCUUUGCUAAUACCGCAUACGAUCUACGGAUGAAAGCAGGGGACCGCAAGGCCUUGCGCGGACGGAGCGGCCGAUGGCAGAUUAGGUAGUUGGUGGGAUAAAAGCUUACCAAGCCGACGAUCUGUAGCUGGUCUGAGAGGAUGAUCAGCCACACUGGGACUGAGACACGGCCCAGACUCCUACGGGAGGCAGCAGUGGGGAAUUUUGGACAAUGGGCGCAAGCCCGAUCCAGCCAUGCCGCGUGCAGGAUGAAGGCCUUCGGGUUGUAAACUGCUUUUGUACGGAACGAAAAGCCUUCUUUUAAUACAGGAGGGUCAUGACGGUACCGUAAGAAUAAGCACCGGCUAACUACGUG
rnacentral:rRNA from 1 species